GACGAACGCUGGCGGCAUGCCUAACACAUGCAAGUCGAACGAGACCUUCGGGUCUAGUGGCGCACGGGUGCGUAACGCGUGGGAACCUGCCCUUAGGUUCGGAAUAACUCCCCGAAGGGGGUGCUAAUACCGGAUAAUGUCUUCGGACCAAAGAUUUAUCGCCUUUGGAUGGGCCCGCGUUGGAUUAGCUAGUUGGUAGGGUAAAAGCCUACCAAGGCGACGAUCCAUAGCUGGUCUGAGAGGAUGAUCAGCCACACUGGGACUGAGACACGGCCCAGACUCCUACGGGAGGCAGCAGUGGGGAAUAUUGGACAAUGGGCGAAAGCCUGAUCCAGCAAUGCCGCGUGAGUGAUGAAGGCCUUAGGGUUGUAAAGCUCUUUUACCCGGGAUGAUAAUGACAGUACCGGGAGAAUAAGCUCCGGCUAACUCCGUG
rnacentral:rRNA from 1 species